rnacentral:misc_RNA from 1 species
AACAUCGCGCACCUGCGGGAACCUGCGGAGGGAUCAUUACAGAGUUGCAAAACUCCCUAAACCAUUGUGAACGUUACCUAAACCGUUGCUUCGGCGGGCGGCCCGGGUCCUUCCCGGCGCCCAUCGGCCCUCGCGGGCGCCCGCCGGAGGUAAACCAAACUAUUGCAUUGUAUGGCCUCUCUGAGUCUUCCGUACUGAAUAAGUCAAAACUUUUAACAAUGGAUCUCAGAUCGGAAGAGC